GUGGUGUGGAUCCAUGGAGGAGGCAGAGACACUGAGGUGGGGUGGAUCCAUGGAGGAGGCAGAGACACUGAGGUGGGGUGGAUCCAUGGAGGAGGCAGAGACACUGAGGUGGUGUGGAUCCAUGGAGGAGGCAGAGACACUGAGGUGGGUGGAUCCAUGGAGGAGGCAGAGACACUGAGGUGGGGUGGAUCCAUGGAGGAGGCAGAGACACUGAGGUGGGAUGGAUCCAUGGAGGAGGCAGAGACACUGAGGUGGGGUGGAUCCAUGGAGGAGGCAGAGACACCGAGGUGGGGUGAAUCCAUGGAGGAGGCAGAGACACUGAGGUGGAUCCAUGGAGGAGGCAGAGACACCGAGGUGGGGUGGAUCCAUGGAGGAGGCGUGCAGAGACACUGAGGUGGGAUGGAUCCAUGGAGGAGGCAGAGACACUGAGGUGGGGUGGAUCCAUGGAGGAGGCAGAGACACUGAGGUGGAUCCAUGGAGGAGGCAGAGACACCGAGGUGGGGUGGAUCCAUGGAGGAGGCGUGCAGAGACACUGAGGUGGGUGGAUCCAUGGAGGAGGCGUGCAGAGACACUGAGGUGGGUGGAUCCAUGGAGGAGGCGUGCAGAGACACUGAGGUGGGGUGGAUCCAUGGAGGAGGCAGAGACACCGAGGUGGGGUGGAUCCAUGGAGGAGGCGUGCAGAGACACUGAGGUGGGUGGAUCCAUGGAGGAGGCGUGCAGAGACACUGAGGUGGGUGGAUCCAUGGAGGAGGCGUGCAGAGACACUGAGGUGGGGUGGAUCCAUGGAGGAGGCAGAGACACCGAGGUGGGGUGGAUCCAUGGAGGAGGC
ensembl:lncRNA